CCCAGGGGUCACUGAAAGCCGGGUUGCGGGAGUUUGAGGAGGUGUGUGGCGGUGGUGCGCUCGGAUAGCCCACAGGUGCUCGGGGUCUAGGUCAGGUGGAUGCGGUGCUCUCGCGAGCCCGCGGGCGGAGGGCGCUUCGUGUCGGGUUAGGGCUUCGGCGUCGGUCCCGGCCGCUCCGAGCUGGAGAGAAUUGAAUGCCUCCUGAAUUGGCGUCCAGGCUUGCACAGCCUGUUGGCUUCUCCUGUUGGGAGUUUGCACUUUGAACAUGCCCAGUCCUGUGAAAUAUCAUGAAGUGCAAGUCUUUAAUACACAAACGAAAAGCACAAUUCGGAGAGACGCUCAUGCCAACAGUGCUGCUCCUUGGAUGUAUCAGGCCUUCUAAUUUGCAGCCAUCUGGGUUAAUUAGUCCUACUGUUCCCGAACUGGUUUCCUUCAAUGACAUUGAGGGGUGUGCCUUUUAAUCAUCAUAAACCAGGCUCAACUCCGUAUGUGAGAUUUGGGAUACUAAAAGUGAAAAUUGCAAUUAUUUAGAAUGGGAGGCAGAGGCAAGAAAAUACAGUAAGUUCUCCUUGGCACCUUUGUAAUAAAUAGACCCUGGUUGUGUUGAAGCAGAAUUCCUAGCACCAAAGAAACUCACGGUUGCUUUAAGACAGCAUAAUUUCAUUCACCCUUACCUGUCACUCUGUUUUCUGGAGUUUCAAACAGUAGGAUGGCUGUGUUGUACAGAUAGGAGAAGAAAAAGAGAAGCCUGCUGGUGAGGUUCUGGAGAAAACGCUUGUUUACUGUUGAACUGAAUAUGUAAUGGGAAGUGUUCUUUCUGCCUUGCCUGUUUUAUUCUCAGGAAGCAGGCUUGAGAGUGAAAAUUCCUGGAGCUGAGGCAGCCAUCCUGAAGCUACACACUAACAAGGCUAAAGAAUAAAUAAACCCCAGUUUCCUGCAUCCUGGGUGAUGUGUUCAGUGAAUGGCCUAGGGGGCUGAACAACCUGCAUUGCAGCUUGCUGAAGAUACACGAGACAGAGACAGCUGGGAUUGUGGCAGCUCUCCAAAAGGAUGCCAUGCUUAGUGAAAAUAGACAGAUUCAAAUAGAGUGGGGUUUGGUUUUGUUUUGUUUUACCUUUUUGUUUUUGAGACAUGCUCUCAGUCUGUAGCCUAGGGCUGACUUUAAACUGGUGUUUUUCCUGCCUGAGCCUUCUGAGCACUAGGACUGUGGGUAAGCAUCACCAGGCUGAGGUGUUAGCCAUUUCUAAUCUAAAAUAAGUGUAUAAUGCUCUAAGUAACAUUAAAAAUAAAAGGCCAUUUUGUACA